rnacentral:lncRNA from 1 species
UAUAAAUUUUAAUUCUAUAAUAUUGAUUAUUUAGAUAUAAGUUAUACAAUAAAAAAUAAAAGAGAGAUAGAUGGAGUUUAAAUUAAUUACUUAUUUAAUAAAUUUAGUUAAUUACAUAAAAUACUAAUUAAAACUGUAAAGCUAAAUGAAAUAUUCAAAGUUUGAAAUCAAAAUAUUAUUAACCGACUCAAAUUUAAUAUAUAAAAAAAGUUAGAUAGUAAAAAUAUAAUUUUGAAAAGUUAGAUAACUGAUUCAAAAUAGUUCGUAGUUCAGAAAAAAUUUAUACGGUUUUUACUGUGAUUUUAAUAUCAAACAUCAAUACCAUAUUUAUAGUCUGAUAUGCGAUUAAUUUCACAUUUAAAAUAUUUUCAAAUAUCCAAAAUAUAAUUGGUCAACUUUUAAUUUUAACAAUUAGACAUUUUAAAAUUUAUUAGAUAGUUUAACAUUUUUUUUCCUUAAAUGAAAUUAGACACACGAAGCUUUAGUUUUCAAACUUUAAUGAAUCCUAUUUUCAAACUCGAACUAUAAAGCAUAUGAUAUUUUAAUCCUAUAAAUAUAAUUUUAUUAUUCUUAUAAAUUUUUUUAUUUUUUUAAUCCUUCUUAUAUUUUUAUUCUUAUUCUUUUUUAUCAUUCUUAUAUUUUUAUUCUUUUUAUAUUUUUAUUCUUAUUCUUUUUUAUCAUUCUUAUAUUUUUAGUUUUAUUCUUUUAUAUUUUUAUUUUUAUAUUUUUAUCAUAGCAACUGUUAUUUUUUUUUUAAUUUUUUAGCUUUAUUUAUUUCUACGGAAUCGACCAGUCG